CCUUUGGAGACACAUAUACACCAAACACCAGUUGCCAGCGGCAGACAAUCCAAUACAGGUCAGCCGUUGGGCACCCCAAUUUAGUCGCACGUGAACCAUCACCGAGCUCGGAUCUAGGGCCGUUGAGAAGAGCAAAGGGAACCCUUUUAAUUGCACCAAGUUCAAAGUACAAACACAAAGCCCAUUGACCUAGACUGUGUCUAAUCGCCGCCAAACACCAUGAUAUCGUCGAUAUCGGAACUCAUUAUUGCGGCGUUCGUUGCCCUGAUUGUGUCGGUUGUGAUAAGAUACAUUCGCUAUCGUCCAUCGGAUCGCUUCCCACCUGGACCACCGCGUGUUCCAUUGCUCGGUAGUUACCCUUUCCUACUGGCCCUGAACUAUCGUCAUCUGCAUCGGGCCGCUGCUAGGUUGAGUGAGCUGUACCGCAGCAAUGUGAUUGGACUGCAUCUGGGCCCGCUACCGGCCGUGAUCGUGAACGAUCAUACCCUCGUUCGUCAGGUGCUACAGCGCAGUGAGUUCGAUGGGAGACCGGACCUGUUUCUAGCACGGCUUCGCGAUGAGCGGUACGCAAGACGAGGCAUCUUCUUCACGGACGGGGAGAGUUGGCGAGAGCAGAGGAAGUUUUUCCUGAAAACCCUACACGAAUACGGAUUCGGGCGGCGAAACGACACGGUAGAGCAGGAUCUAGAGUCGGGACUAACGGAACUGAUCAGCCUACUGAAGGAGGGGCCACAAUAUGAGCAUGAGAAGUCAUUGCUGAACGAGGCAGGCUAUGCCCGUUGCCCACAACUCUUCUUUGCCCUUUUUUCCAACGUUAUACUGCGCAUGCUGACUGCAUCGCGAUUGGAGCGCGAAGAUCAAGCAGUACUCUUCGAUGUUGGUGCCAACUCGCUCGCUUUCCAUCGCCAAGGUGACGAUUACGGCCUGGCGCUUAGCUACGUACCCUGGAUUCGUUACAUUCUACCUGGCUUUAGUCGCUACCGAGUGCUACGAGAAGUGAACCAGAAGGCCAACGCUGUCAUCCGAUCGCUGGCAGAACAAUGUGAGAAAACGUACAACGAAGCCGACAUCCGGUGCUUCAUUGAUGCGUACCUACGGGAGAUCAAGCGCACCGGAAGCAACAUCACCACAGGAUCGGACUGCUUUGGAUUCGAAUAUGAUCAACUGGUAAUCGGUUGUGCCGACUUCCUCGUACCAGCAUUCUCGGCCAUCCCGGCCAAACUGGGAUUGAUCUUGCAGCGUUUAGUAACGCAACCGGCGACGGUUACACGAAUGCAGACCGAAAUCGAGCAAUCGGUUGGUCAAGCAAGGUUACCCCGCGUGGACGAUCGUACCAAUUUGCCAUUCUGUGAGGCGGUAAUACGCGAAGCUCUCCGCAUCGAUACACUAGUACCAUCCGGCAUACCGCAUGUUACCACGCAGGAUACUGAACUAGCCGGUUAUCAGCUACCCAAGGGUACGCUAGUGAUUAACGGACUGGAUUACAUUAACCACCAGGAGGAUAUUUUCCCCCAACCGCACGAGUUCCAACCGGAACGGUUCCUCGACGCUGACGGAAAGCUGUCGCUUGAACAGGACAAAUCCAUCCCAUUCGGUGCCGGCCAUCGGGUGUGUGCUGGUGAAACAUUCGCUCGCAAUGCACUCUUCGUUACGAUCACGACACUCGUGCAGCAAUUCAAUGUUGCGACCGAGCUGGCACCAGAUCCUGCACAACAUCUUACCGGUGUGAUUCGUACGGCGCCAGACUUUUGGAUCAAAUUUACUUCACGCUAACAAAACUUUUCUAACACUAUGGUAACCAUUUAAUUGAUUUUUGACUGUGUGCGAUGUGUUUUAUCGAGACCAAAAAUGACUAGUUUCUAUGCAGCAAUGGGGUGAUACUUAUAAAAUACUAAAUACGCAAUCACGGCAAACCAGCUUAUCAAUAACAAACGGGCUUUCAGUUUUCCACUUGAAAUCGAUGCUCUCGAGUGAAUGCGGCUACGUUUAAGGACCUUAACACACAUAUUUAUCUUUAACGUCAUUGUCAACUGUUAACUUUAACUAGGCUAGAGAGACGAUACGGUCGUUGACACCUUUUUGGCAAUUAACCAACUGCUUACCUUACGGUAACGAAGAGUGCUUAUUUAAUGGUUUGCUUAAAGCGGCGCAAAAUACAAAUAUUAAUUUCUUAAAAAUAGCUGUAUGAUCCAUACGUGUGCAUACAAACAAAAAGUAAUAAACAAAGCAAAAACUCAAACACACGUGCUGCAUUGAAGAAUGUUGCCUUGCGCAGCCAGCAGAUACUACGCUACUCUCCAGCAAGUCAUUCGCAUGCCGUCAAUCAGCAAACAACUCGUGGAGUCAUUAUCGCCUGUAGCAGGAGAAGCCGCAGCAGUAGCAGCCACUGCU